GGCGGGGCGAUUCCUAGGCCCCGCCCACCCAUCGCCUUUGCCACCCUCCAGCGGGCGAAAGAAAGAGGCAGGCAUUCCUCAGGCCUUAUCUCUCUGGUUCUUUCUGCUACAUAUGACACCUUGUGAUGGCUCUCACCUUCUGGAAUCUCUCUAUUACCUUGGUUUCAGAAGAGUGAACCCUCUCAAUUAUCACAUGAAGGGAACACGAUGCACAUGGAUGAUCAAUGGUCAGUUCCUGGUCAACGCCCCAGGAGAGGCCAUGUGAGGGCACAGCUGGAAGGUGGCCAUCUGAAGUCAGGAGGACAGCCUGCAGAAGCCAUAUUGCCCAGAUUCUUGAUCCUAAACUUCUAGCCUUUAGAACUGUGAAAAAAAUAAUUUCUUGAAUUUUCUGUCAAAUAAACAAACAAAAAAAUA